rnacentral:lncRNA from 1 species
GUUGGGUUAACUGAAUUAAUCACGGCGUUAAUUGGUGAUAACAGGUGGGUGGCACUGUGCUAGUUACGUCUCUUACGGCAACAACUAACCGAUUAUAAUCGAUUAUUAAAAUAAUUAGUAACUAAUUUAAUAAUCGAGUAGUUUAGUGUCUACAGUAUUACAGUCACAUAACUACAGUUGCUACGCGCUAAUGAGGGGCAGUUACCCGACCAACGCCGUGACAUUAACCACAGAGCUGUGAGUAAAUAAGGAAGAGUCACGGUCUGUGAGGACAAAUCAUGGGACCCUGCUUCUCCCUCAGUGACAGAGAGACUUGCUCAUGUGCUCCUCCUGUUUUAUAGGCCAGCAUUUCGGUACGUAUCAGUUAAAUAUAUAUAUUAAAUGAAAUAUGAAAAAACAUUAAUCUGUAUGUUUAUGACAGCAAAAGGUCAUAUGGUUUGGUAACUGAACAGAAAUGGCUAAUAAAAUAUUGGUUAUGUUGAUUACCA